rnacentral:tRNA from 1 species
GGUUAUGGCUCAGUGGUAUAGCGCUUGCCUUGCUUGUGUGAGGCACUGGGUUCGAUCCUCAGCACCA